CUACGGGAGGCUCCAGGCGCGAAACCUCUACAAUGCACGCAAGUGUGAUAGGGAAACCCCUCGUGCUUAUCGAAAGAUAGGCUUUUGUUAUGUGUAAUGAGCAUAUCGAAUAAGUGAUGGGCAAGACUGGUGCCAGCAGCCGCGGUAAUACCAGCGUCACAAGUGGAGAUCGCUUUUAUUGGGUCUAAAGUGUCCGUAGCUGGUUUGAUCAGUUCUUUGUGAAAUUUCUUUGGCUUAACCAAGGAAUUGCAAGGAAUACUGUCAAACUUGAGACCGGGAGAGGUAAGAAGUAUUGUUUGGGUAGCGGUAAAAUGUUAUAAUCCUUACAAGACUAACUAAUGCGAAGGCAUCUUACUAGAACGGAUCUGACAGUGAGGGACGAAAGCUAGGGUAGCGAACCGGAUUAGUACCCGCGUAGUC
rnacentral:rRNA from 1 species